AAAAAAAAGAGUCCAAACUGCAUUGUGGUCAAUUUUUUGAAAAGAAAAACAGUAAAGUGUGAAAGAGAAAGAGGAAAAUUGCAAAGUGUGAGAAAAAAGCAAAGAGAGGAAAGAGGAAAAAGAACUAAGUGUGAAAAAAACAAAGUGUAAGAGGACAGAGGAAAAAGAACAAAGUGUGAAAAUAGCAAAGUGUGAGACAAGAGGAAGAAGAACACUGCUUUCCUCAUGUGUUUGUUUGUUUGUUUGUUUGUUUCAGAUGCUGAGAGACCAAGCGGUGGACGUCCAGAGAACAGAGAUGCUGAGAGAGCAAGCGGUGGACGUCCAGAGAGCAGAGAUGCUGAGAGAGCAAGCGGUGGACGUCCAGAGAACAGAGAUGCUGAGAGACCCAGCGGUGGACGUCCAGAGAGCAGAGAUGCUCAGAGACCAAGCGGUGGACGUCCAGAGAGCAGAGAUGCUGAGAGACCAAGCGGUGGACGUCCAGAGAGCAGAGGUGAGUUGCACAUUGUCAUCCAUUGCACACAGUAGACUUUGCUGCUUUCCUCAUGUGUUUGUUUGUUUGUUUGUUUGUUUGUUUGUGUCAGAUGCUGAGAGACCCAGCGGUGGACGUCCAGAGAGCAGAGGUG
ensembl:lncRNA